rnacentral:misc_RNA from 1 species
CUCUAUUCCAGCAGCCGCGGUAAUACGUUCCCGGGCCUUGUACACACCGCCCGUCACAUCACGAAAGUCGGUUGCACUAGAAGUCGGUGGGCUAACCCGCAAGGGAGGCAGCCGCCUAAAGUGUGAUCGGUAAUUGGGGUGAAGUCGUAACAAGGUAGCUGUAGGAGAACCUGCGGCUGGAUCACCUCCUUUCUAAGGAGCAUCUCCGCCUCGGAUCAAAACGAGGUCGUGACGAAGCACCUAGGUCGAAAGGAAUCACGCUGAGCAAUCAGCAAGCGUUCGUCUUGACCGUCUUUCCUGUUCAGUUUUCAGAGAAUCGCCUUUUCCCGAGUUCUAUGAAAAUCGAGCGCUGCGGUUGGCCGAUCGGAUCGGCUAUCGACCGACACGAUUACCCGAAAGCGGGCCUAUAGCUCAGUUGGUUAGAGCGCACGCCUGAUAAGCGUGAGGUCGGUAGUUCAAAUCUACCUAGGCCCACCAUCUUCGUGAAUUGAACGUGGGAACUUGAACAUCGGAUUGGGUCCGGUUUUCAGCUUCGAACUGUCAAUUCCUCCGAACGAACCGGGGCUGUAGCUCAGCUGGGAGAGCAUCUGCUUUGCAAGCAGAGGGUCGUCGGUUCGAUCCCGAUCAGCUCCACCAAUCACCCACCGCGCGCCACGCACCGAGCCUGCGAAUAUCAGCCGUGUGAACGAAGUCGACUCGUUCAUACAGUUGAUCUUCGCGAUCAGCGCUUCUUUGACAAUUGAAUACGGGUUGUAGAUAUAGAGAUGCACGUCAUA